CUGGCGGCAGGCUUAACACAUGCAAGUCGAACGCACCGCAAGGUGAGUGGCGAGACGGGUGAGUAACGCGUGGGAACCUUCCCUUUGGUACGGAAUAACUUCGGGAAACCGAAGCUAAUACCGUAUAAGUCCUCCGGGAGAAAGAUUUAUCGCCAAAGGAUGGGCCCGCGUUGGAUUAGCUAGUUGGUGGGUAAAAAGCCUACCAAGGCAACGAUCCAUAGCUGGUCUGAGAGGAUGAUCAGCCACACUGGGACUGAGACACGGCCCAGACUCCUACGGGAGGCAGCAGUGGGGAAUAUUGGACAAUGGGCGCAAGCCUGAUCCAGCCAUGCCGCGUGAGUGAAGAAGGCCUUAGGGUUGUAAAGCUCUUUUGGCGGGGACGAUAAUGACGGUACCCGCAGAAUAAGCCCCGGCUAACUUCGUGCCAGCCGCCGC
rnacentral:rRNA from 1 species